UCUCCCUGCCAUGCCUGCAUUCAACAGGAAGCCCUCGUUGGCCCCAGGAGGAAUCCAUGCUGCUCUCUGGGACUUGUCGGCUUCUCUGGAAGGAUGGGAAGGAGCAAGAGAGGCUCUGUCAGCCAGAGGACAAGAGCAAACCUUCCCCUGCGGCACUGAGAUGGGAAAUAAAGCAGAAGGAACAGGCUUUGAGCUCGAGUUUGCCUUCCUUGGGAAGAUAAGCAGCUGGACAUGCAGUGAGGGGACAGAGGAGCAGGAGACCGGAGGCGCAUUGGGAGCUAACCCCUAAGGGCCCGAGAGGACCAGGUCGACAUCGGUUAAAGCUGGUGCUACCUUAGAGUUCCUCUGCAGUUUGUGACCACUAACCCCUGGAAUAUCCUGGCAAUGUCAGCGGGAAAACUCUCCUCCCCGGAGAGUCCUUUAUUGUCUCAAGCCCUAAAUAAUUGCAAUGGUUCCAGUUUAGUGUUAAUACUUCUGGAAGCUUCAAAUUAGUAGAUUUUAAUUAUGUACUCAUUAGUGAACACUGAGGGCACAUGGAAGUUAAUUCAGAGGGGUUUCAGUUGUUCGUUUGGUGCCCGAUACUCUUGGACUUCCUUCCUGUGGUGGGGGACAGUGGUGGUUGUUCGGAGUGAGUCAUCAAUUGCUGGAAUGGAGCAUGUUCGGUGUAUUCUGUCCCCAUCCCUGAUGCUGCCCGUUCAUAUACCUAAUGAGCAGAUGCCCACCGAGAGGAUGGCACAACUGUGUUGGAAGAGCAGCAGUAAGCUGAGCCUGGCAGCACAAUCCCAUGGCGGGGGGGGGUUGAGAAAGGGGGAUUUUGAGACAGACAACUUAAGCUAUAUAGCCCAUUUCAGGCCAACUUAGGCUUCAUAGUGAAAUGUUGUAUCAAAACUACCCACAAAUAUCAAAACCAAAGCUAAAAAUCCAAAAACUAAAAACAUCAAGGGCUGGGGAUAUAUUUCAGUGGUAUAAUGCUUCUUUAGCAUUCAAAGCCCCAGCAUAAAAAAGAAUAAUCAAUCAACCAAUAAUAAUAAAAUAAACAGAUAAAUAAAUAA